GCUCAACGACGUGCUCAGCCUGGGGCAGCACCGGACGUGGAAGCGCAUCUGCGUCUCUUGGUCCAAGGCGAAGAGAGGGGAUCGGGUUCUUGAUCUCUGCUGCGGGAGCGGGGAUUUGGCGUUCCUUCUGUCUCAGAAGGUCGACCUGGACGGAGAGGUCGGUGCUCUGCUGAAAUGUCGGAUUGGCUUCAGGGUUCAGAAUAUCCAAGCAAUCUUAUUUGGGUUGUCAAUCUCAUGGUACCAACCUCUCUCGAAUGUCACAGGUGAUGGGCGUCGAUUUCUCAGGGCAGCAACUACAAACUGCUGCUAGCCGUCAGGACCAGCGAUGGAAGGCUUGCUACAAGAACAUCAAAUGGAUCGAGGGCGAUGCACUUGAUUUACCUUUCACGGACCGCUACUUUGAUGCUGUUACA